GACGAACGCUGGCGGCGUGCCUAAUACAUGCAAGUUGAGCGCUGAAGGUUGGUACUUGUACCAACUGGAUGAGCAGCGAACGGGUGAGUAACGCGUGGGGAAUCUGCCUUUGAGCGGGGGACAACAUUUGGAAACGAAUGCUAACACCGCAUAAAAACUUUAAACACAAGUUUUAAGUUUGAAAGAUGCAAUUGCAUCACUCAAAGAUGAUCCCGCGUUGUAUUAGCUAGUUGGUGAGGUAAAGGCUCACCAAGGCGAUGAUACAUAGCCGACCUGAGAGGGUGGUCGGCCACAUUGGGACUGAGACACGGCCCAAACUCCUACGGGAGGCAGCAGUAGGGAAUCUUCGGCAAUGGACGAAAGUCUGACCGAGCAACGCCGCGUGAGUGAAGAAGGUUUUCGGAUCGUAAAACUCUGUUGGUAGAGAAGAACGUUGGUGAGAGUGGAAAGCUCAUCAAGUGACGGUAACUACCCAGAAAGGGACGGCUAACUACGUG
rnacentral:rRNA from 1 species